rnacentral:rRNA from 1 species
AGUGAACGCUGGCGGCGUGCUUAACACAUGCAAGUCGAGCGAGGUACCUAUUUCCGCAAGGAAGUAAGGGCCUAGCGGCAGACGGGUGAGUAACACGUAGACAAUCUACCUUCUAGAGGGGGAGUAGCCCGCCGAAGGCGGGGUAAGUACCGCGUAAGAUCAAGUUUCGGCAUCGGAAUUUGAUGAAACGUCCGCAAGGACGGCUAGAAGAGGGGUCGUGCGGCCUAUCAGCUAGUUGGCGGGGUAACGGCCCACCAAGGCGACGACGGGUAUCCGGCCUGAAAGGGCGAUCGGACACACUGACACUGAGACACGGGUCAGACUCCUACGGGAGGCAGCAGUGAGGAAUAUUGGUCAAUGGACGCAAGUCUGAACCAGCCAUGCCGCGUGAAGGAUGAAGGUCCUCUGGAUUUGUAAAC